UAGAACCAAAAAGAUUACACAACUGAAGAACCUCAUCAACACAACACCCAAUUUCAUUCAUCACGACUUGCUUUUCAUACAAGAGAUUAGCUGAAUUAACUCUGAUAUGAAAGAUCUAUAAUGAGUGAGCUAAAUGAAGACCUUCAAUCACUGCUAAAAUUUCAGCAAGAGGAGGCGAGUAAUCAGUCUCAAUGUGAAGAGAUUUCGUGGAAAUCACAGAACCAUUCAUCUCACGAAUUACAUCUCCAAGGCCAGUAGAAGAAUUUGAUUUCCACGCACCAUCAACACUUCGAGUAAAAACACCCGAAGGAGGAGAAAGCCAUUUCCAUAAACAGGUCGAGGAUGAACUUGGAGCAGCAGUAACAUUCAUCUGUCUUCUGUUAAAGAAAUUUGAGACUUCCUCAAGAUAAAAAGGAGUCCAGAAGGGAGCUGGCGUGAAAAGAAAAUAUUUGAAAAAUUAAAAGGGCAAUGCACCCGCAUCAUGGCAACGAUGCGGCUGCACCAAUCUAAAUUCUCAAUAUUCAAAUAACGUCAUCAGAAUCUGAGUGGGCCACUAAAAGCCUAUUGGCCACCCUCCACUCCUCAAGCAACACAAAAUCUAUGCUCGAAGGAAUGGUGGAGCAUGAUAAGAAAUAUGAAGGUAGGUAGACGUCAGACUUUGGAAAAAGAAGUCAAGAAAGAUAGCCACCUAAGGUUCCUGUUUCAGUGAGCAAGACCACUCCUCCACCACCAUCUGAUGAGCUACAUCAAGCCUCGAGGAUCCUAUUUUUCCACUGCUGAUGAAUAUGAUGAUGGAGUUUCCAAAGCUCAUUAGGGUAGUUCUCAGUUCUCUUUUAUUGCUUUCAGUAUAUUUGUGCAUAGUUCUUUUCUUUGUUUUAGAUUUUAGGUUAGAGUUAGGUAGAUUUAAAGUGCUUUCACUUAAAGAGUUUGGAAACAUAAUACCAAAUAAAAAUAUUAAGGAUCAUGUAAGUAAAUGAGCAUGCUAGUCUUUUGUUUUACAAAGUAGUCCUUGAUGAUGAUAAUUAGAGCAUAUCUCAUUCUUUGCCUUCUUGUCAAACCUAAAGUGUACAAAACCAAGAGCAUCAUUUGUCUUUAUGUGCAAAACCUCCUUAGGCUAGUUUUCCACACAUUUAAACAACCUAGUUAGGAGAGCCUAGCCAAAUAAUUACCUUGUUUUUUACCCUUUCUCAUACUCUAGUCAAUGAGGACAUUGCCUCCCUUAAGUUUGGGGGAAAACUUAUACGCUUCAACUUUUAUUAACAAUUGUGAAUGUUAUUCAUGAAAUGUUAUGUAAAUGUGCUAGGACUUGAAGAAGAAAAACAAAUUAGUGAAAUGAAAAAAAAAAAA